rnacentral:rRNA from 1 species
CAGCAGCCACGGUAAUACAGAGGGUGCGAGCGUUAAUCGGAUUUACUGGGCGUAAAGCGUGCGUAGGCGGCUUUUUAAGUCGGAUGUGAAAUCCCUGAGCUUAACUUAGGAAUUGCAUUCGAUACUGGGAAGCUAGAGUAUGGGAGAGGAUGGUAGAAUUCCAGGUGUAGCGGUGAAAUGCGUAGAGAUCUGGAGGAAUACCGAUGGCGAAGGCAGCCAUCUGGCCUAAUACUGACGCUGAGGUACGAAAGCAUGGGGAGCAAACAGGAUUAGAGACCCGAGUAGUCCCUGUCUCUUAUAC